AGGGGAAGCAGGUGUGAGCCCGCAGCACAGUCGCCACCCCAGUCCCGGGCUGCGGGUUUGCUUCUUGACCCUGGGUGGUACCGACCGCACACGUGUGACCGCUACAUGGAGGAGAUACAAGGUACUCAUCACUGCUGAAAGAAAGAGGACAAUCCAGAUGGAACUGCCUAAAACAUCAUGCCACCCCCUGGAUGUGAAGCUGGCUUACUGAACCCCCACCAACCACCUCGCCCCCUCCUUCCUCCACUGUACUCUCUUCUCAGGCUUCUAUGCAGCCAGAAACCUGCAGGCAUGGUGUUCAGCUUGGGUUAGCAAGAGGCCAGCACAAGUCCUCGGGGAUGGUUUUCCUCCCAAAUGAAAAGACAAACUUUCAGGAAGAGAAGGUAUUUGGAUGUGAUGCCUGGAGCUGCAGUACCCAUCAUAUGACCAUGAGACUGAAACCACAUGAUAGUAAUGGUGGAUGGGGGUGCCUGCGUGGCUCAGUCAGUUAAGUAUCUGACUUUGAUCUCACAGUUUGUGACUUCGAGUCCCGCAUUGGGCUCUCUGCUGUUAGUGCAGAGCAGAGAAAGCCCACUUUGGAUCCUCUGUCUCCCUCUCUCUCUGCCUCUUCCCCCCACUUUCUCUCUCUCUCAAAAAUAAAUAAACAUUAAAAAAAUAA